GGUUGUGCCCUUGAGGCGUGGCUUCCGGAGCUAACGCGUUAAGUCGACCGCCUGGGGAGUACGGCCGCAAGGUUAAAACUCAAAUGAAUUGACGGGGGCCCGCACAAGCGGUGGAGCAUGUGGUUUAAUUCGAUGCAACGCGAAGAACCUUACCUGGUCUUGACAUCCACGGAAGUUUUCAGAGAUGAGAAUGUGCCUUCGGGAACCGUGAGACAGGUGCUGCAUGGCUGUCGUCAGCUCGUGUUGUGAAAUGUUGGGUUAAGUCCCGCAACGAGCGCAACCCUUAUCCUUUGUUGCCAGCGGUCCGGCCGGGAACUCAAAGGAGACUGCCAGUGAUAAACUGGAGGAAGGUGGGGAUGACGUCAAGUCAUCAUGGCCCUUACGACCAGGGCUACACACGUGCUACAAUGGCGCAUACAAAGAGAAGCGACCUC
rnacentral:rRNA from 1 species